rnacentral:rRNA from 1 species
AACGGACGCUGGCGGCAGGCUUAACACAUGCAAGUCGAACGCCCCGCAAGGGGAGUGGCAGACGGGUGAGUAACGCGUGGGAAUCUACCCAGAUCUUCGGAACAACUGAGGGAAACUUCAGCUAAUACCGGAUACGCCCUACGGGGGAAAGAUUUAUCGGUUCUGGAUGAGCCCGCGUUGGAUUAGCUAGUUGGUGAGGUAAAGGCUCACCAAGGCGACGAUCCAUAGCUGGUCUGAGAGGAUGAUCAGCCACACUGGGACUGAGACACGGCCCAGACUCCUACGGGAGGCAGCAGUGGGGAAUAUUGGACAAUGGGCGAAAGCCUGAUCCAGCCAUGCCGCGUGAGUGAUGAAGGCCUUAGGGUUGUAAAGCCCUUUCAGUAGGGAAGAUAAUGACGGUACCUACAGAAGAAGCCCCGGCUAACUUCGUGCCAGCCGCCGCCGUAA